AACCUAAACCUAACAAGGGACAUCUUGCAUGGGCUGAUGCUUUUGUCAUAACAGGAGACUCGAUAAGUAUGUUAAGUGAAGCAUGCAGCACAAGGUAAGCUAUUGUCUUAUUGGACCGAUGACUUGCACGUUGCAACCUUUUUAUGAAGUUUCAAGAGUGUGAAUAGCUUCAAACUGUUUUGGCGCACUAGCAGUAGCAUUAGUUGCUUUUGAGUUCUAACCAAACAGGACGAACAGAGUAAAUGUUUCCACAAAUUCCACUGAACAUGAUUUCUGUAUAGGCAUCAAUUCACGUAAAUUGCAUAUCAUGUCUGGUGUUUUCUUGGGGACAAUGUAAUUUUUAGCUGACCAAUAUAAUGAAUGCAUAGUACCAAAAUUUGAAAAGUAUAGUAAUGUUCCUUUCUUUUGUUAAAUAAUAGUCAGUAAGGAUUCCUGGCUGGGAUGCAACCCUUUUUUGUUGGGGACUAGCAUUGAGGUUGUGGGGUUUUUUUACUUUCACUUGCAUAGCUAUCGGCUGGUUUAUUUUUGGUGCUCCAGGUGUUUGAUGUAAUCACUCUGUAGGUGUGCACAUUCAGCUUGAUACUGAAGAACGUCGCGUCGCUGUUCAUGAAUAAGGAUUCCCUCAAGGUUGAAGCUGAUACUAAGCUUGGGGAGCUCAUAAAGUAUGUUUAUAGCUAGCUAGCAUCACAUGAGACUCACAGAAAUACAGAAUUCCCUCAGCCUGUGACUUCUCCAUCUGUUUCGUUUCUCCAUGCGACGACAUACUAGGUCUGUAAGCGGCGCCGCGCAUGGCGGGUGUCAGGUGAGCAGCAAGGGGCAGAAGUGCCGGCCAUGUGGACGAGCAGCGUGGGCGAGAGGCGAGGUACAAGCAACAGCAGUGCGGGCAUGCAAAGAGCCAGGGAGGCAGCAGCCAUGCGAGGUGUGCUGCGUGCAGUAACGACAUCAAUUUGCUUCCUUCUUUACUCUGCUUGAUUUGGGAUUUCUUCUACUUGCUUCAUUUAUUCUUUAGUUUAUUUGAUUUGGGGAAAGCAAUCCGAACUUCAGUGAAAAACCGAACACCACACCAAAAAAGUCGACACUGAAUCAAUGUGUGCUUUCUCUAAAUUCUAUCAGUAGCCAUGUAAUAUAGUUGUUACAUGCCAUGAACUUACACCUGCAAUUUUUGUGUUGCAAAAAACCUAGAGAAGAGGCCCGUAAUUUACACUUGUCAGAAUUUCUAUACUUCUCUCUAUGCUGGAUCUAGAUGUUCAUGUUAGAUAUGUUGGUCGUACUUUUGAUACGGUAAGCAAGAUUGCUCCACUAGAUGACUGUACAGCCAACUCACCUAUGACUGACAUGAGUUUGUUGAGUGUAACCCUAGAACUUAUGAUUAUGAUAAGCUGUCACCCACAUUUAGCAGUAUAUUCAAGAAGAUAAAAAAGAGCCAGCAAACAAACUCUCCUAUACUUCAUAUUUCUGAUGUAACUCCUUAUUGUGUUUUAAUUGUGUCUAUAUAUGAGAAAUAAAUUAGGGAACAAACUUUUUUAUUGUGUUUUAACCGUGUCUACAUCUGAGAAAUAAAUUAGGGAAGAAAGUUUUUUAUUGUGUUUUAACUGUGUCUACAUCUGAGAAAUAAAUUAGGGAAGAAAGUUUUUUCAUUGACGAUGGCAUAUAUUCUGAUAAACUGGGCAUGGUUAAUACAAUUGUAGAGCGCAUUUCUAUGAGAAAUCGAGUUUUGACCAGAACAGAUCAGAUGCAAGAAGAUAUUGAAAUGAAAUUGAUGGCUACCAGAAUUCACAGGUUAAGUACCGAUCAUUUCCUUUUACAUGUUUGUUUGAGCCAACAACUCAUGUAUUAUGUUAUCAGUCGUGGAUUACUGGUAUCAACCUUCUAACUGUUCUUCAUCUAAUUGAGGUGAGAACAAAGAGCUGCGGGUCGGGGUAAGGAGGCUCACGAGACCACUAAAUAACAUGCCGUCUUCGGUUAUCUCAAGCCACAACAUGCAUCUUGUUUGCUAAAAAAGUUCUAUUUCUCAAAUUGCUAACUGCAUGAUUCUUUACUGCUAGGUCUUGAUUUGUUGGAUGAUAUCUUGUUGGGUUAUAAAGCUGAAUGGCCAAUGGAUAUUGGCAUUACAAUAGACGCACUGAAAAUAUAUGCUGAAAGUCAGGUUUUCAAUGUUUUUACUGAUUGAAGUAUGGAGAUAUGUAAAUUUUCUUAUCAAGUAUCUACAACAAGCAGUUUGCUUUGCUCUAGCUCUCAUAAUAGAUCUUUAUAAUGUGACAUUUUGCUAUGUAUGUGAACAUAUGACCCUCUUGAUUUGUUGGAUGAUAUCUUGUUUACUUGUAGUAGUGAUCUUGUUUACUCAGGGAGAAGCUGAGGUAGGAGUGCCUGCGGAAGGGGACGGAACUGGCGCAUGGGGUGGCUGACGCCCUCUUCGCUGUAUCACCCACCGAGGACCUCGACGGCCCUAUCGUACACCUCCCACCGCCCGCUGUUCGACUCCCGCGCGAGAAGCAUCUUGGUGCUGGGACCUCACUGCCAGGAUUCCAGGAUUAGUAGCUGCAAAGGUAGGGGCAGAUGUAACACUAACAGACAUGUGCCUAAAAUCUAUCCAAUGACACUGAUGAGCGCUAUGUAUUGUGUACUCAUCAGGUUACAAUUUACAGUUCACCUGCUGCUGCUGGUUAUUGAUGAUUCGUGUAUUCGCCUCAUAGGAAUUUUAUUUUUCAAAAGUAGCAUGACUGCAUCAUUGUGAUUUGAUUCUUUCUGCCUAAGACUGACCUUAUGUUACUUGCUUCCGGAGCAUGUAACAUCCUGCUGCCUGUGAAUUUCUUUUUCUGCACAUAAGGAUUUGAACAUCAAGUUUCAGUCGAACCGCAGCAGUUCUCGAUGUGAUGCCAUGCCAUAACAUGACAGAGUGGGAAGAAUUGGAUCAGAUGUCAGAAGCUGGUGGAGAUAUCAAUUCUCGAAUACUUCCUCUGAAGGAUAUUGAGAAUCAAGAUCUCUUGAUGAGUGAGACCAACAGUGCCUGUGAGGCACAUGAGGAUACAGAGGACCAGCCUUCAGAGAAGGAUGCACCUGUUGCAUGGGAAGAGGAUGAGAAUAAUGUAGGUUGGAUGCCUCUGUUAGCCGCAGCACACACAGAAAAUAUUUCACGUAUAUGAGAUCCAACAAUCCUAUCAUCGAAAUAUGAAAAGCUUCAUGAUUAUGUCAGUACCUGUAGGAACAGAGUAAUAGUUGACAUUUCACUUAUAUAGGAGUCAUACAGGAAUGAACUGUUAAUUUCACAUAUAUAUACAACUACUUUAACUUCUAU